CAAAUACUCCCUCCGUCCGAAAAUACUUGUCCUAAAAAUGGUUGAAAAUGAAUGUAUCUAUAACUAAAAUAAGUCUAGAUACAACCAUUUCUAAAACAAGUAUUUCCGGACGGAGGGAGUAAUUG
rnacentral:pre_miRNA from 1 species